UAAUAAAGCAGAUCGCAUGAUUUUUUUUGAAAGNCGGCUUAGGCUGUCCCUAAGGGAUGGNCCCGCGGUGCAUUAGCUAGUUGGUAAGGUAACGGCUUACCAAGGCGANGAUGCAUAGCCGAGUUGAGAGACUGAUCGGCCACAUUGGNACUGAGACACGGCCCAUACUCCUACGGGAGGCAGCAGUAGGGAAUCUUCCACAAUGGACGCAAGUCUGAUGGAGCAACGCCGCGUGAGUGAAGAAGGUUUUCGGNUCGUAAAGCUCUGUUGUUGGUGAAGAACGAUAGAGGUAGUAACUGGNCUUUNUUUGACGGUAAUCAACCAGAAAGUCACGGCUAACUACGUGCCAGCAGCCGCGGUAAUACCAUAA
rnacentral:rRNA from 1 species